GACGAACGCUGGCGGCGUGCUUAACACAUGCAAGUCGAGCGGUAAGGCCCUUUCGGGGGUACGACGAGCGGCGAACGGGUGAGUAACACGUGGGUGACCUGCCCUCAGCUCUGGGAUAAGCCCUGGGAAACUGGGUCUAAUACUGGAUAUGACUCCACGGUGCAUGUCGUGGGGUGGAAAGCCUUGUGCGGCUGAGGAUGGGCCCGCGGCCUAUCAGCUUGUUGGUGGGGUGANGGCCUACCAAGGCGACGACGGGUAGCCGGCCUGAGAGGGCGACCGGCCACACUGGGACUGAGACACGGCCCAGACUCCUACGGGAGGCAGCAGUGGGGAAUCUUGCGCAAUGGGCGAAAGCCUGACGCAGCGACGCCGCGUGA
rnacentral:rRNA from 1 species